rnacentral:rRNA from 1 species
UAGGGAAUAUUGGUCAAUGGGCGCAAGCCUGAACCAGCCAUGCCGCGUGCAGGAAGACGGCCUUCUGGGUUGUAAACUGCUUUUACCAGGGAACAAAGGGCUCCUGCGGGAGAAGUUGCGUGUACCUGGAGAAUAAGCACCGGCUAACUCCGUGCCAGCAGCCGCGGUAAUACGGAGGGUGCAAGCGUUGUCCGGAUUUAUUGGGUUUAAAGGGUGCGUAGGCGGUUUAUUAAGUCAGUGGUGAAAGCCCACAGCUCAACUGUGGAACUGCCAUUCAUACUGGUAAACUUGAGUACAGACGAGGUAGGCGGAAUUUAUGGUGGAUCGGUGAAAUGCAUAGAUACCAUAAAGAACCCCGAUAGCGAAGGCAGCUUACUAGACUGUAACUGACGCUGAGGCACGAAAGCGUGGGGAGCGAACAGGAUUAGAUACCCCCGUAGUCC